GGGGAAUUUUGGACAAUGGGGGCAACCCUGAUCCAGCCAUGCCGCGUGAGUGAAGAAGGCCUUCGGGUUGUAAAGCUCUUUCGGCCGGGCAGAACUCGUGCAGGCUACUACCCUGUAUGGAUGACUGUACCCGAAUAAGAUGCCCUGCCCAACGCCGUGCCAGCAGCCGCGGUAAUACGUAGGGUGCGAGCGUUAACGGAAUACUGGGCGUAAAGCGUGCGCAGGCGGUUUUGUAAGACAGGCGUGAAAUCCCCGGGCUCAACCUGGGAACUGCGCUUGUGACUGCAAGACUAGAGUACGGCAGAGGGGGGUGGAAUUCCACGUGUAGCAGUGAAAUGCGUAGAGAUGUGGAGGAACACCAAUGGCGAAGGCAGCCCCCUGGGUCGAUACUGACGCUCAUGCACGAAAGCGUGGGGAGCAAACA
rnacentral:rRNA from 1 species